rnacentral:tRNA from 1 species
GGUUCUGGAUCAGCGGUAGAGUGCUCGCCUUGCAUGUGCGAGACCCUGGGUUCGAUCCUCAGCACCA